rnacentral:rRNA from 1 species
AUUGAACGCUGGCGGCAGGCUUAACACAUGCAAGUCGAGCGGAGAUGAGGUGCUUGCACCUUAUCUUAGCGGCGGACGGGUGAGUAAUGCUUAGGAAUCUGCCUAUUAGUGGGGGACAACAUUCCGAAAGGAAUGCUAAUACCGCAUACGUCCUACGGGAGAAAGCAGGGGAUCUUCGGACCUUGCGCUAAUAGAUGAGCCUAAGUCGGAUUAGCCAGUUGUUGGGGUAAAGGCCUACCAAGGCGACGAUCUGUAGCGGGUCUGAGAGGAUGAUCCGCCACACUGGGACUGAGACACGGCCCAGACUCCUACGGGAGGCAGCAGUGGGGAAUAUUGGACAAUGGGGGGAACCCUGAUCCAGCCAUGCCGCGUGUGUGAAGAAGGCCUUAUGGUUGUAAAGCACUUUAAGCGAGGAGGAGGCUACUGAGACUAAUACUCUUGGAUAGUGGACGUUACUCGCAGAAUAAGCACCGGCUAACUCUGUGCCAGCCGCCGCCGUAAAAC